rnacentral:rRNA from 1 species
AGACGAGAACUUGUUCUGGUUGAAGUGAGUGGCGAACGGGUGAGUAACACGUGGGUAACCUACCUUUAUGUGGGGGAUAACAGUGGGAAACGACUGCUAAUACCGCAUAGGACAUCGAACCGCAUGGUUUGAUGAGGAAAGAUGGCGCAAGCUAUCGCAAAGAGAUGGACCCGCGGUGCAUUAGCUAGUUGGUAAGGUAGAAGCUUACCAAGGCGAUGAUGCAUAGCCGACCUGAGAGGGUGAUCGGCCACAUUGGGACUGAGACACGGCCCAAACUCCUACGGGAGGCAGCAGUAGGGAAUCUUCCGCAAUGGACGCAAGUCUGACGGAGCAACGCCGCGUGAGUGAAGAAGGUCUUCGGAUCGUAAAGCUCUGUUGUUAGCAAAGAGAAGCAAUGAGAGUAACUGCUCCAGUGUGGGGACGGUAGCUAACCAGAAAGCCACGGCUAACUACGUGCCAGCAGCCGCGGUAAUACGUAGGUGGCAAGCGUUGUCCGGAUUUAUUGGGCGUAAAGGGAGUGUAGGCGGUCUUAUAAGUCUGAUGUGAAAGCCCACGGCUCAACCGUGGAGGGUCAUUGGAAACUGUGAGACUUGAGUGCAGAAGAGGAGAGUGGAAUUCCAUGUGUAGCGGUGAAAUGCGUAGAUAUAUGGAGGAACCCCCAGUGGCGAAGGCGACUCUCUGGUCUGUAACUGACGCUGAGGCUCGAAAGCGUGGGGAGCAAACAGGAUUAGAUACCCUGGUAGUCCACGCCGUAAACGAUGAGUGCUAAGUGUUGGAGGGGUUCCACCCUUCAGUGCUGGAGUU